rnacentral:rRNA from 1 species
GAUGAACGCUGGCGGCGUGCCUAAUACAUGCAAGUCGAGCGAACAGGCGAGGAGCUUGUUCCUCUGACGUUAGCGGCUGACGGGUGAGUAACACGUGGAUAACCUACCUAUAAGACUGGGAUAACUUCGGGAAACCGGAGCUAAUACCGGAUAAUAUAUUGAACCGCAUGGUUCAAUAGUGAAAGACGGUUUUGCUGUCACUUCUAGAUGGAUCCGCGCCGCAUUAGCUAGUUGGUAAGGUAACGGCUUACCAAGGCAACGAUGCGUAGCCGACCUGAGAGGGUGAUCGGCCACACUGGAACUGAGACACGGUCCAGACUCCUACGGGAGGCAGCAGUAGGGAAUCUUCCGCAAUGGGCGAAAGCCUGACGGAGCAACGCCGCGUGAGUGAUGAAGGUCUUCGGAUCGUAAAACUCUGUUAUUAGGGAAGAACAAAUGUGUAAGUAACUAUGCACGUCUUGACGGUACCUAAUCAGAAAGCCACGGCUAACUACGUG